GGGGGGCCCUGGGGCCAACCUCCCACCCGUGUUGCCCGAACCUAUGUUGCCUCGGCGGGCCCCGCGCCCGCCGACGGCCCCCCUGAACGCUGUCUGAAGUUGCAGUCUGAGACCUAUAACGAAAUUAGUUAAAACUUUCAACAACGGAUCUCUUGGUUCCGGCAUCGAUGAAGAACGCAGCGAAAUGCGAUAACUAAUGUGAAUUGCAGAAUUCAGUGAAUCAUCGAGUCUUUGAACGCACAUUGCGCCCUCUGGUAUUCCGGAGGGCAUGCCUGUCCGAGCGUCAUUGCUGCCCUCAAGCCCGGCUUGUGUGUUGGGCCCCGUCCCCCCCGCCGGGGGGACGGGCCCGAAAGGCAGCGGCGGCACCGCGUCCGGUCCUCGAGCGUAUGGGGCUUCGUCACCCGCUCUAGUAGGCCCGGCCGGCGCCAGCCGACCCCCAACCUUUAAUUAUCUCAGGUUGACCUCGGAUCGGUAGUCAA
rnacentral:rRNA from 1 species